rnacentral:rRNA from 1 species
UACGGAGGAUGCAAGCGUUAUCCGGAAUGAUUGGGCGUAAAGCGUCCGCAGGUGGCUGUGUAAGUCUGCUGUCAAAGAGCAAAGCUCAACUUUGUAAAGGCAGUGGAAACUACACGGCUAGAGUACGUUCGGGGCAGAGGGAAUUCCUGGUGUAGCGGUGAAAUGCGUAGAGAUCAGGAAGAACACCAGUGGCGAAGGCGCUCUGCUAGGCCGUAACUGACACUGAGGGACGAAAGCUAGGGGAGCGAAUGGG